AUAACACUUGGAAACAGGUGCUAAUACCGCAUAACCAUAGUUACCGCAUGGUAACUAUGUAAAAGGUGGCUAUACUACCGCUUUUGGAUGGGCCCGCGGCGCAUUAGCUAGUUGGUAGGGUAAAGGCUUACCAAGGCAAUGAUGCGUAGCCGAAUUGAGAGGUUGAUCGGCCACAUUGGGACUGAGACACGGCCCAAACUCCUACGGGAGGCAGCAGUAGGGAAUCUUCCACAAUGGGCGAAAGCCUGAUGGAGCAACGCCGCGUGGGUGAAGAAGGUCUUCGGAUCGUAAAACCCUGUUGUUAGAGAAGAAAGUGCGUGAGAGUAACUGUUCACGUUUCGACGGUAUCUAACCAGAAAGCCACGGCUAACUACGUGCCAGCAGCCGCGGUAAUACGUAGGUGGCAAGCGUUAUCCGGAUUUAUUGGGCGUAAAGGGAACGCAGGCGGUCUUUUAAGUCUGAUGUGAAAGCCUUCGGCUUAACCGGAGUAGUGCAUUGGAAACUGGGAGACUUGAGUGCAGAAGAGGAGAGUGGAACUCCAUGUGUAGCGGUGAAAUGCGUAGAUAUAUGGAAGAACACCAGUGGCGAAAGCGGCUCUCUGGUCUGUAACUGACGCUGAGGUUCGAAAGCGUGGGUAGCAAACAGGAUUAGAUACCCUGGUAGUCCACGCCGUAAACGAUGAAUGAUGAGUGUUGGAGGGUUUCCGCCCUUCAGUG
rnacentral:rRNA from 1 species